rnacentral:rRNA from 1 species
GACGUAGGGGGCCAGCGUUGUUCGGAAUUACUGGGUGUAAAGGGUUCGUAGGCGGUGCGGCAAGUUGGGAGUGAAAUCUCUGGGCUUAACCCAGAGGCUGCUUCCGAAACUGCUGUGCUUGAGUGUGGGAGAGGCGCGUGGAAUUGCAGGUGUAGCGGUGAAAUGCGUAGAUAUCUGCAGGAACACCCGUGGCGAAAGCGGCGCGCUGGGCCACUACUGACGCUGAGGAACGAAAGCUAGGGGAGCAAACAGG